rnacentral:rRNA from 1 species
GUGCAGCAGGCGAGAAACCUUCGCAAUGCGGGAAACCGCGACGAGGGGACUCCCAGUGCCUACGCUCAGCGUAGGCUGUUCCCGAGCCUAGAAAGCUCGGGGAGUAAGGGCUGGGUAAGACGGGUGCCAGCCGCCGCGGUAAUACCCGCAGCCCGAGUGGUGGCCACUAUUAUUGGGCCUAAAGCGUCCGUAGCCGGCCCGGUAAAUGCCUGGGUAAAUCGUGAGGCCUAACCUCACGAAUUCCGGGUAGACUGCCGGGCUAGGGGACCGGAGGAGGGGAGAGGGGUACUCCAGGGGUAGGGGUGAAAUCCUGUAAUCCCUGGAGGACCACCGGUGGCGAAGGCGCUCUCCUAGGACGGGUCCGACGGUGAGGGACGAAAGCCAGGGGAGCGAACCGGAUUAGAUACCCCGGUAGUCC